AGGACGAACGCUGGCGGCGUGCUUAACACAUGCAAGUCGAGCGGUAAGGCCUUUCGGGGUACACGAGCGGCGAACGGGUGAGUAACACGUGGGUGACCUGCCCUGCACUUCGGGAUAAGCCUGGGAAACUGGGUCUAAUACCGGAUAUGACCUCCUAUCGCAUGGUGGGUGGUGGAAAGAUUUAUCGGUGCAGGAUGGGCCCGCGGCCUAUCAGCUUGUUGGUGGGGUAAUGGCCUACCAAGGCGACG
rnacentral:rRNA from 1 species